UACGUAGGGUGCAAGCGUUAAUCGGAAUUACUGGGCGUAAAGCGUGCGCAGGCGGUUGUGCAAGACAGAUGUGAAAUCCCCGGGCUCAACCUGGGAAUUGCAUUUGUGACUGCACGGCUAGAGUGUGUCAGAGGGGGGUAGAAUUCCACAUGUAGCAGUGAAAUGCGUAGAGAUGUGGAGGAAUACCGAUGGCGAAGGCAGCCCCCUGGGAUAACACUGACGCUCAUGCACGAAAGCGUGGGGAGCAAACAGG
rnacentral:rRNA from 1 species